UGUUUGUCAAUUUUUCGAGUGCUUAUUUGACAGGUACCUUUUAUUUUUUAAAAUUUUUGUCACCUUUUUACAGCCAACACAUUUUGUAGUAUAAAAUAAAUACUUUGCUGUAGAAAAGUCCAAAUUACAGGCUAUUUUAUUCUAUAAAAGUUAGACUUUUAGUUCUAAAACAUAUCCGAAAUUUAGAAUUAGAAUCUUCGUGGAUCACCUUAGGUGAUUUUUCGAAGUUAGCCUUAAUUUCUGUCAUGUUGAUAUUUUCAGAUUUGUACGACUUUACCAAAAGUUCUAUAUCUUGAUGUAGGUAUCUCAGAAUCACAAACCGUUUGAUUUAUCAGAAAUUAGAAUUCAAGAUCUAUAACAUAUUCGAAUUUCAGAAUUAAAUACUUUCAGGAUCGUUCUAGAUAAGUUUUUGAAGUCGGCUCUAUAUUCUAACGCGCCAUCAGUUUCAGAUUUGUGCGAUUUCACCAAAAAUUUUAUAUCUUGAUGUAGGAACCUCGGAAUUGCAAACCGUUUGAUUUCUUAGAAACUAGAGUUCAAGAUCUACAACAUAUCCGGAUUUUAGAAUUAAACACUUUCAGUAUCUUUAUAGAUAUGUUUUUGAAUUCGACUCUAUAUUCUAACGCGCCAACAGUUUCAGAUUAUCGUGGCUUCACCAAAACUUUUAUAUCUCGUGUUAGAAUGUCGGAAUUAAAAAUUAUUUAUUGAUAGAAAUUAGACUCAGAGUGCUUCGUUCUCACCAAAAAUCAUGCCCCGAAUCAUGCCAGAUUAUUCUAGGCAACACUUUAAACUUAAUUUUCGAAUCUGACAUGCCUUAGUAGGUAACUAUCUUUCUUGUACUUGUAUUUUUUUUUGCUGCCUUCUUUUUGUUAUUGUAGGCAAUAAAGAUAUCUUCGUCAACAAGGUUAGAUGCACAUAGAAGGAAAAAUUCAUGGCAACAAAUAGAAGGACAAAUCUUCAACAUUAUAUGGGAGGACAAAUCCAUGACGGUAUAUGGAAGGACAAAUCUAUGACAACAUAUAGAAGUAUCAAAUCCAUGACAACAUAUAGAAGUAUCAAAUCCAUGAAGAGGCCAACUUAAGGUGUAAAGGGACUUAAACGUCCACCUUAAGAUUGAAAAAUUAUAGUUCCUUUUAAGGACAAACCUACGAAGAGGUCAACUUAAGGUGCAAAGGGACUUUAACGUCCACCUUAAGAUUGGAAAAUUAGAAAACUUCAACUUGAAGACUUGUCGGACUUUGCAGAUUUCAACUUGAAGACUAACAAAUUUGAAGAUUUGACAGACUUGAAAAUUUGGUGGAUUUUGAUGCUUCAACUUGAAGAGCAGUGGACUUUUAAACUUCAACUUGAAAAAUUAGCAGAAUUGAAGACUUCAGCUUUAAGACUUAUAGGGCUUAAAUAAUUCAACUUGAAUACCGACGAACUUGAGGGCUUCAAAUUGAAGACCGACGGACAUGAAGACUUAGAGGGAUUGAAUACUUCAACUUAAAGUUUAGCCGCAUUGCAGACUUCAACUUGAAGGGCGGUGGACUUGCAAAAUUCAACUUGAAGAGCGACAUACUUGAAGAUUUGGAGGGCUUAUAUAAUUCAACUUGAAGACCGACGAACUUGAGGACUUCAAAUUAAAGAUUUGGCCUUCUACUAAAAGUCUACAUCCAUCUAUUGGAGAUGCCAAUUUGCUAUGGAGGCUUGCCCUCAUUGAACCAUCAAUCUUUGAUAAGGCACAAAGUUCAUGUAAGCUCGAUUUUUAAGUUCCAAUCAAGUGGAAUAUAUUCCAUCAUUCUUACUUCGAAUAACGAUUGGGGUAAUAUGUAUAUUUUGAACUCAUGCGACUGAACUUAGAAUGAAACUCUAAGCUGCCUACAUAUAUCGGUGAAGAGGAUUAAGUCAUUCUGUAGUUCAGAAUGUGUGAGUUUUUUUUAUUAUUUUAUGUCCUAACCUUUGCCUAGACUGCCUCUUUCGAGGUUUUUUAUAUUUGGGUCGUACACAGUUUAUACUCUUGCAGGCCAGGAGUAUAGGAAUAUGCAAUUUAGGCUCGUGCGUCAUGGAGCGUAGCGACUUGCAUUUUAAACUCGUGUUUUGAUGAGCUUUGCAACUUGAAGAUUUUGCUCGAAUUUGAAGAUCUUUAUGACCUGUAGUUUAGGCUCGUGCGUCCAGGAGCGUUGUAAUUUGAAGAUUUAGCUUACAAUUCGAAAUGGUUCGUUACUUUAAGACUUGCUCAAUUUUGAAGAGUUUUGCAACUUGAAGUUCCACUCGAAUUUGAAGAGCUUCGUGACUUGAAGAUUUAUCUCAAAAUUGAAGAGUUUUGCAACUUGAACACUUUUCUCGACUUUGAAGAGAUUUACAACUUGAAGACUUUGCCAAAUUUGAAGAGCUUUACAUCUUGAAGUUUGUCUCGAAUUUGAAUAACUUUGCGAUUUGAAGUCCUUUCUCGACUUUGAAGAGCUUUCGACUUGAGUCUUUGCUCGUAUUUGAAGAGCUUAGCGACUUGAACACUUUGCCCAAAUUUGAAGAGCUUUACAACUUGAAGACUUUGCUCAAAUUUGAAGAGCUUUGCGACUUGAACACUUUACCCAAAUUUGAAGAGCUUUACAACUUGAAGACUUUGCUCGAAUUUGAAAAGCUUUACGCCUUAAAAGGAUUUAAUUCAAAAUUGGGGAGCUUCGUGACAUACAAUAUAUACUCAUGUACUAAGAAGCAUUAUAACUUGCAGUUUAGGCUCGUGCGUUGAGGAGCAUUAUAACUUUCAGCUUAGGUUCAUACGUCACAGAGCAUUAUAACUUACAGUUUAGGCUCAUGCGUUAAGGAGCAUUGCAACGUGCAGUUUAGGCUCAUGCGUCACGGAGCAUUAUAACUUGCAGUUUAGGCUCAUGCGUUAAGGAGCAUUACGACUUGCAGUCUAGGCUCAUGCGUCAAGGAGCAUAGCAAUAUGCCUGGACUCUUCAGUUUUAUCUUCGGAUGAAUACUUGCCCCCAUUCUCAGCAUCCUCUGCUUCUAUUUCAUAAUAAGGCUCAAAGCCAGGAAACCUUUGAUAUCCUCUUAUAGCCAUACUCAAUUCCAUAUCAUGGGCACGAGUUGCAAGUUCUUCAAAUGUACUAGACUUGAUACCUUGCAAGAUAUAACGAAGAUUCCAGUGCAUGCCUUGAAUGCACAUUUCAAUGCCAAAAGUUUCGCUAAGGCAAUCUUUGCAGUUAAGGCUUAAGCUCCUCCAGCGGUUGAUGAAGUCAAUAACUGGCUCAUCCUUUCCUUGAUGAGUGUUUGUAAGUUCGAUCAUGCUUACGAUGCCUCUUGUGCUAUAGAAACGAUUGAGAAACUCUUGCUCCAACUGCUCCCAACUAUCGAUAGACUCAGGUUCGAGAUCUAUGUACCAAUCG
rnacentral:lncRNA from 1 species